UACGAAGGGGGCUAGCGUUGUUCGGAAUUACUGGGCGUAAAGCGUGCGCAGGCGGCUUCUCAAGUCAGGGGUGAAAGCCCAGAGCUUAACUCUGGAAUUGCCUUUGAGACUGAGAGGCUUGAGUACGGGAGAGGUGAGUGGAAUUCCCAGUGUAGAGGUGAAAUUCGUAGAUAUUGGGAAGAACACCGGUGGCGAAGGCGGCUCACUGGCCCGUAACUGACGCUCAUGCACGACAGCGUGGGGAGCAAACAGG
rnacentral:rRNA from 1 species